rnacentral:lncRNA from 1 species
AAAAACUCCAUAACUUCUAGGAAAUAGUUCUCAAAACAAAAACAGAAAUAGUUCUCAAAACAAAAUUGUAACGCAAGCAAAUAAUAUAUAAUUCAAACAAUCUAAACUUCUUAUUUGUCGGCCUUGGCAGCACUUGCAGCAGCUUGACCCCUGAGUCGCCCAGUCCUCUUGGCAGCAAUGAGACCAACCUUCUGUCCAGGAGGUGCAUCACGUCUGACAGUACUAGCAUGACCAAUAUGCUGGUGGUUACCUCCUCCAUGGGGAUGCUCAACUGGAUUCAUAGCCACACCACGAACCUUAGGCCAGCAGUUCCUCUUCACCCUAAACUUGUGGUAUGCAUUACCAGCCUUCAACAUAGGCUUCUCAGUUCUACCACCGCCAGCAACUUGACCAAUCAUAGCCCUGCAAUCACUUGGCACAAUCUUCUUUGCACCUGAAGGAAGCUUGAUCCUGUGAAACAAAAUUAACAUCUUAGUACAAAUCUAAACAAUAAACCAAAACCUAAAUAAACAUAACCCUAAACAAACUAUAAGGAUCAUAACAUUUUCUAAAUAUUUAAAUGUCAAAAAUACACCUGAUUGAAAACAAAAUGUGGAUGCAUUAGACACCUAAACAUAAUUUUUAACUGUAUUGAAGACAUACAACAUCAAAUUUAAGAUGUACAAAUCAGAUUCAAAAUUCAAACAAACAACAUGACAUCAGCGAAAUUCCAGCUGCAGAAAAUCAGGAUUAAACAAGUUCUCCUAAAACAGAGCAUCAUAUGGGAUAUUCUGAAAAGAAUUCUAGUUUAACCAAAUAAAAUUAACACUAAAGUAUCAUUUCAAACAAAACAAAUCAAAUCAGCCUAGUAAAUAAUAAUUCUCAAGAACUUAUAAACACAAACAUUAUUUGUAUCAAUAACCAAAUAAAGUAGAAUAAAAACUUAAACAGAAAAGAUAGAACAAAACCUAGAGGUGUCGUUAUCAGGGUUGUGACUGAUAACAAUAGCAUAAUCACCGGAGGCUCUGGCAAAGACACCACGGUCACCAACAUGUCCUUCGACGUUGCAGAUAACAGCUCCCUCAGGGAUAGAUCUGAGAGGAAGCACAUUACCAACAACUAGAGUAGCCUUUUUCCCACAGUAAAUGAACUGACCGGUGUACAAACCCUCAGCCGCAACAAAAAGCUCAUUCUGCUUCUUGUAACGGAAAGGAUGACGGAAAGUAACCUUGGCAAGAGGAGCACCACGACCUGGAUCGUGGAUAACAUCAGUAACAACUCCCUUGAGGUAACCGUUACGCUCGCCGAAAUCGAGACUGCGGAAACGAGCAGGUCCCUUCCGGUGAUGCGUGUGAGAUUUGAAAACUGAACCCGCUCCCUUACGUUGUGCCCUAAUCACACGACCCAUUGCUCCGCCUCUGAAAGUUGAAAGGGGAAGGGGAUGAAGAAUGAAAAACUGCUAACCUAGUUUUGGUUAUGAAAUGAGAAACUAGGGUUUUAAUAUAAUGACUUGGACGGGAAUGCUUAUGGGCCGGGUCAUAGAAGCCCAAUAUAGUUGUAUAUUGAAAGAGUCUAAUUUCCAUUUACCACCCCAAUUCCAACAUUGCAUUUUUAAAAUAAAUAUUUUGAAUUAUUCUUUUGUAUUCUAUGAUAUAAAAUUUUGACCAAAAAAAUGACAUAAACUAUUUUGAUUUUUAUGAAAUUUAAUAUUCCAUUUUUUAAAUAAAAUUUAUUAAAAACGAUUGAAAUAUUUUUUUUAAUUAGCCAUUUUAGUGUUUUUAAAAGAAUAUUUGGAUAUUUUUAUACGUUUUGAUGAUAAGAAGUAAAAUUGUGGAGGUGGAAAUUGAUUAUUCUAAUGUUGUAUUAUUAAAAAGACACCUUUUAUUACAUAAAAAAAUGGAUAUGUGUCUAAAAUAUAUACGCUUUAAUUUUAAGCCUAGAUGAGAAUUAAAAUUAUUUAAGUUUAAAAUAAAAUUUAAUUUUGUAGAUAGUAAAAAAUAGAGAGCUAAACUAUAAUUAAUUUAAAAUUUGAUUUAGCUAAUGAAACUAUAUGGAUUGAAUGGUAUAAUUUUAAAUUAAAUGUAUAUUUACAUCACUUUUUAUUAAUAUUUUUUUUAAUUUCAUUAAAUUUAUAUAGGGAGUCACUUGAUUUGGUGGAAAUAAUAUCAGUUUUAAUCCAUGAAAUAAAAUGUUAAAUAGCGUUGUUACUUAAAAAAAAUUAUAUAAAAAACAACCAUAAUAAAUAAUUUUAUACAUAGUCGAUAAAAAAAAUUAUUGAUUAAAAAAUAGAAAUAAAUUUUUUUCUCUCCUUCAUAAUCACAACCAUCUUAUAAAUUCAAUUGAAAAUAAAUUAAAAUUUAAAUAAACUUAAAAUUUUCUCACUUCUUAUUAAAUAUUUUUAAGAAUAUGAAUUUAGAUAAGUUUUUAUGCAAGUAUUCUUCAUUUUCUUAAACUAUAAAAUUUCUUCAAACAAAGUUUUGAAAUAAUUGCAAGAUGUAAGCAAAGAGAAUCGAAAAAGACAAGUUCUGGCAAUUAAACUUUUUAUAAUUAGUUAGAAACCUUCAAUUAAUUAAUUCAAUAAUUUGAUCACUAUUAUAUUUAUCACACUUGUUAAACUAUCCUAAUUUAUCCUCUUAUGUAGUUAUGAUAAAUGUAUCAAAUAAAAAAAUUACUAUUUUUUUUAUAAAAAUUUAGUUUGAUAUUCUAACACUUUGUCAAAAUCAUGUAUACCAAAUAAAUUUGUAAUACAUAACAAAAUGCAUAUCAAAAUUGAAGUAUUCAUCAUUAUUAUUUCUUCAAUUUUAAAACAAAAUAGCAAAACUAAUUCAAAAUUAAAGAGAUUAAACAAUUUCGUAAAAACAGUUUAAUUAGUAGUUAUUGUUUUUUUUAAGUAAAUUGCAGUUAUUAAACUAUUUGACACAAAUUAAAAUAUAUAAAAAAAAAGACUAAACAUUAUUAUCCAUGACAUUGCAUUCUCUAACGGAAUAAUCUUUCAUGAAAUAAAUAUUUUAGUGACGUAUAUACACAAAAUCAAUUAUGUAGUGAUAUAUUCAUAUAUAUAUAUACCAUUCAAUGGUGGGGAUAUCAUGGUUGUCCAUAAGAAGAGACAUCAUUUUAUCGUCCGCGAUCGAGGGCAGCCUCGUCUUCAACGCCCAUCACUCGCCCCGUUGUGGAAAACAUAAAAUACAUGUCUCGAUCAGAGAGAAUUCAGAGUCAACAACUCAGAGUGUGUCUCUUUGAAAGUAUGGAUUCAACGAACUAUUACUCUGACUAAGUGGGCGGUUAUCAAUCUCGAGAAACCUUAACUUCAUACCUAGAAGUCUCUAUAAGUAUCUCAUUCU